rnacentral:lncRNA from 1 species
CGGCCUAGAGGUUAAAGAUGGACAAAAAUUGGCUUUUAAUUUUAUUUUUAAUUCAUUUUAAUAACUAAAUGACCAAAAUGCCCUUAAUGAAAAACUUUGGAAACAUGCCUAACCAUACCAAUUUUUGUCCACCAACUUAACCAAUGGUCUAAUUACCAUAUAAAGACCUCCAAUUUAAAAUUUCAUAACAAUUGGACACCUCUAACAUAUAGAACUCAACUUUUGCACUUUUUACAAUUUAGUCCUUUUGACUAAAUUGAGUGCCCAAACGUCAAAAUUUUCGAACGAAAUUUUCACAAAAUCAUUUUGUGAAAUCGUAGACCGUAAAAAUAUAAUGAAAAUAUUUUUUUCUUGUCAAAUUUGUGGUCCUGAAACCACUAUUCCGGUUAGCCCCAAAUUCGGGCUGUUACAUUAGAUUUGAAACAACGUGGCUGUUGGAGGAAUCGUGUGAAAUGGAGGAAGUGGGCCUUGAGAAAUGGUUCCAUAAAAUUAAAAAUCAGAAGUCUCUAACGAGGAAAUAUUUGAAACAACAGUUGCUUAAAUUGAAUGAAGCUAUUCCCAUGGAUGAAAUAUUGGGAGAAAUUAUGGAGACUAAACUAGCGCUUAACAUAGAGGCUAAUAGAAAGGAGCUUUAUUGGGAGUAGAGAGCUAGAGCGAAUUGGCUGAAAAAUGGGGAUAGAAACACAAAUUUUUUUCAUCAAUCGGCAACGGAUCGUCGACGAAGAAAUAGGGUAGAGGAGCUGGUGGAUGGUACGGGUAAUAUUCAUAAGAGCAAUGUUGAUUUAUUAGUGUUGGCCACAAAUUAUUUUAAUAACUUAUUUACAUCGAAAGGUGUUUGAAAUUUAAAUUCUAGUUUAGAAGGUGUCGAGCCAUGUAUAUCUCAAUUGAUGAACGAGGAUCUUAAGAGGGAUUUUACUUAUGAAGAGGUGUGUUUGGCUUUAAAAGCUAUGAGCCCUUUAAAAGCUUCUGGGGAGGACAGUUUAGGGGCGGUUUUUAUCAAAGGUUUUGGCAUAUUGUGGGUAAAGAGGUGGUAGAUUUUUGCAUUGAGACGUCCCAUGGGCUUCAUAACACUGCUGAAAUAAACAGUACAAGAAUUGUCUUGAUCCCCAAGGCUAGUUCUCCUCGUUUCAUGACUCAUUUUAGGUCUAUUAGUCUUUGUAAUAUUUUAUAUAAAAUUAUUUCAAAGAUACUAGAAAAUAGGCUUCAAAAGGUCCUUCAUAUUUGCAUUGACGAAGCACAAAGUACUUUUGUUUCGAGAAGACUUAUUACCGAUAACAUCAUAGCAGCAUAUGAAAUUUUUCACUUAAUGAAGAGAAAACGGGUAGGGAGAGAGGGAUCAUUUGCCUUAAAACUUGACAUGAAUAAGGCAUAUGACCGGGUUGAAUGGUUUUUUGUGCAAGUUAUGCUUCAAAGGAUGGGUUUCUCAGAUCAGUGAGUCGAGAAAGUCAGGCGUUGUGUGACCUCGGUCUCUUACUCUGUGGUUAUGAAUGGGGAGGUGGGUAAUUUAUUUCUCCCAUCAAGGGGACCCUAUUAGUCCCUAUUUAUUUCUUAUUUGUGGAAAAGGUUUGUCUGCUCUUCUUCGGAUAGCAGCUACAAGGGGUGUUCUUAAUGGUUUUCAUAUAAAUAGGCACGCUCAUCGGGUUACCCACUUGUUUUUCGCCGAUGAUAGCCUUAUUUUUUGAGAUGCAACAGUUGAUAGGGCUAAAGCAUUUAAAGAAAAUUUAGAGGUUUAUGCCCAGAGUUCGGGUCAAGAAAUUAAUUUCGACAAGUCUAAAGUCUUCUUCAGCUCAAAUGUCAAUCAGAAUAAAAGAGAAGUGUGUCAAAUUUUGGGGGUUAAUUGGAGCAUUAAUCUGAAAAAAUAUCUCGGUCUUCCAGCAAUGGUGGGGCGUAAUAAGAAAAGGGCUUUUAAGGAGCUUAAAGAAAGGUUAAUCAAGAGGGUAUCCAAAUGGAGCUCGAGAUUACUUUCUAUGGGUGGGAGGGAAGUUCUUAUUAGAGUUGUACUUCAGGCUAUUCCUUUGUAUGGUAUGAAUUGUUUCUUGCCGCCGUCGUCUGUUUACAAAGAACUGGAAGCUGUCAUAUCCCAUUUCUGGUGGCAAAAGAAAGCUGAAAGAAAAGGUCUUUAUUGGUGUUCGUGGAAAGAGUUGUCUGUGCCAAAAGAAGAGGGGGAAUAGGGUUUCGAGACUUGUCCAAGUUCAAUAUUGCACUACUAGUGAAGCAGGGCUGACGUCUAAUGGAAAACCCGGGUUCGCUAAUAGCGUGUUUACUUAGAGCAAAAUAUUUUAAUGGAUCAAAUUUCAUGGAUGCUUCUCUAGGAGUGAAUCCAUCACUUGUAUGGAAAAGUAUCUGGUGUGCAAAAGGACUCUUAGGCUCUGAUUUGAAACGGAAGAUUGGAUCUAGAACAUUUGUGUCAAUAUGGCAAGAUUAUUGGUUGCCAGGGAAAGAUCAAUUACUUAUUUCUACAGGUAGGGUGGCUGGAAUGAAAUGUGUGUCUGAUUUGAUUUUGCAGAAUCCUAAUAAUUGGAAUAGAGACCUUAUUUAUUCAACCUUUACAAUGGAAGAAGCUGAUCAAAUUGUGAGUCUUCCUAUUCCUAUUACAAAUCAAUCUGAUAAAGUAGUUUGGUCUAACGAAAACUCAGGUAUCUAUUCUGUGAAAAGCAUAUAUAAAAUGCUAUUGGAUCCCCCAAAUGUGAAUUUAAAUGAGCAAAAGCUAUUCAAGCAAAUAUGGAGCUUAAUGUGUCCUUCAAAAAUUCGCAUCUUAAUCUAGAAAUUUGCAAAAAUUUAUGUUCCUACUUAUCUGAACUUACAUUUUAGGAGAUUAAUCACUGAUCACAAAUGUUCGUGUUACCGAUAACUUUGUGAAUCCUCUACCCAUGUUGUUCAUGAUUGUUUGUUUGCUGCACAAGUUUGGUCCAAAUUAAAUUUUCAGUGGCCGAGUUCAAUGGCAAAUUCAAAUUUUAAUGAGUGGUUGAACUAGCUUUUGGAGAAUUCAGCCAGUAACAGAAAAGAUGAGAUUGCUAUUACAAUUUGGGCACUUUGGUUUUCUCGAAACAAAUAUGUCCAUUAGAAAAAGAUGUAAAGUACAGAAGAAGUUGUUACCUUCAUUAGGGGUUUUGGUAUGGAAUAUCAGGGUAGCGCAUCGACUUUGAAACAUCCUAAACCGCGAUCCAUGGUAAAAUGGAUGCCCCAUUCGCAAGGGUGGGUGAAAACUAAUGUCGAUGCGCGACUUUCUGUUGCAAAAAAAAAUACAGUUUCAGGUUUCAUCAUAAGAAAUGAGGAAAGCUUUAUAAUGGGUUUGGGGUUUAAAAGGCAUAACCUAGUUCGAUCGAUGGUGAUUGCUGAAGCGACUGCAGUACUGCAUGGGCUCCAAUUUGCACUGGAUUUGGGAUUCACAAACGUCAUUCUUGAGAGCGAUUCAAAGCUGGGUAUUCAGAACAUACAACAAACAAGCAAAGAUUACUCAGAAUCCAAACCAUUCACCUGGGAUGCGAAGAAUUUGGCAAGGAACUUUUCUUCUUGUCGAUUUCAAUUCGUUACCGAUAAGGAAAUGGGGCAGCGCAUGCAAUGGCUGUUGAACGUUUUAGAACUGAUGAGGAUUCGUUUUGGGUUGAAGACGUGCCAUUGAAAGUCUUGGAAGUAGCUGAUUCUGAUCGACGAUUCAGUCGACCACCAUAAUUCAUUUUCUGUGAAGUCGAUUGGGUUGAGAAACUUGGUAAUCUGGUUGUCUAUCUCAACUUGCUUCCUCUUCUGGUUGACUCUUUGCUGAAAUUUGGAAGAUUUAACCAUUUAUUCUUAGGGGAGUUCAGAUUUGCAAAGAGAUUGGAAGACUGUAGAAAUGAGAAGACAAUUUCUUAUUUUGUGGCCUAUUGCUUUUUUGGUUUUCUAUUUUUUGUUUUCCUGUUAUUCGGUUUUUCCUUUCGUUUUUUCCUUUGGGGUUGUUGUAAACUUCUCUGAUUUGGUCUUUUAGGCCCAAGUAUUAAACAAACUUUAUUUCAAAUUUUUUUUUUCUUUCAAGCUAUUUGGACUUGAACUUUUUGAUAUUAACACUAUGAGGGUAGAGUUUAUAUUUUCCAUAAACUUACCUCUAUUUAGUACAUUGAGACAGUACUCGCUCACAUCUCUUCUUAUAAUGUGAAACAUUUUUAAACAACAUUAUUUUUUAAAUAGUUUUAAUUUAUAAAAUUAUUUUUAAAUAUACAUCUAAAAUUUAGCCAAAAUUUACCUAGUUUAAGCAAAAAAUUAAUGUUAACAUUUAUCAUAUGGUAAAAAUCAAAUGAAUAUUAAAAUAUUCUUUUAUACUUUUAAUAUUUACCUAUAUCAUAAGAUAAUUUUACAAACAUGACUAAUAUUAUUUAAACAUAAAAAUAGUUACUCAUAAAUUUAAAUACGAUUAAUAGUUACUUACCAAUAUUUAAAAUAAAUCAAUCAUAUAAAUACUAAUAAUAUUAUUUAAAGUAAAUCAUAAAAAUACUUAAUCAUGCUUAAGAUAUCAAUAACAAUUCAUAUUAUCAUGGCUCUUGUCCAUACUUUCGUGGUUUUUGUUUUGUCUACUAUGUUCUAUCUAAAAGUCGUGGUUGCUUUAAUUUUUAGUUUUUAGUUAUUUUUUAAUCAUGUUUUGAUAUAUAUACAUAUAUAUAUAUAUGAGAUUUACCAAGGUAACGGUGUCACCAUAUUUAUUGAGAACCAUUAUUAGAGGGCAUUAUCAUGAUAAAACACAAUGAUGAUAUUUAUAAAAUUGGAUUCUAAAAUGAUGAGAAGGAGGAUAGGUCAUUUGAAACUUGGCCUUUUGUGCAUCGCUUAUGCAGUAGGUCACUUAGGGCCCUUGGUAAUGGUCUCCUAGUUGAUCGAAAUUUAUCAUUAGAUUAGUCUGAUGAUGGCAUGAUUUGAAUGCAAUUUUCAACAAAUUGAUCAAUGUGAUGCAUCUUUGGUUUGUUUUUAAAUUUUUCUAGUGUUAUGACUACUAUUAGUUUGCAAACAUAAUAUUUAUGUAUGAGUUUGUAGGUCAUAUUUAUUGUUUGUACUAUAUGUUAUGUCUUGUAACAACAUACUCUAUGACCAAACGAAUUCCUUUGCAAAACUAGAUUACCUAUUUCUCCACAAACCUCCCAUUUGGGUUAUGCUUUAGACUCUAAGUUUAUGCAAGGAAGAAAUAUUAAUGGUAAAGCAUUAAUCAUGAAUUGCGACAUCACCUAGAGAGAAGGGAGUGAAGAUGAAGAUGGAGGAAAGAGGAAAAUAUAAUAGCAAUUAACAAUUUAAUUUAAUAUUAUAUUAUAUUAAAAAAUUUUAUUAUCAUUAAAAAUUUACGUGUCAACUCUUAAUUGGUUGAAGAAUUUUUUUUAACGGAAAUAACGAUAGGGGCUUAUAAUGGUGACGAAAUUCUAAUUUUAAGUAUAUGGUUUUACAAAAAUAAAAUUUAGUUAACUAACUAAAAAAAUGAUAUAAUUUAAAAGCUACUUAUUCAAUUAAGCCUAAAUUUUUAUAAUUAAAUGACUAAAAAAGAUUUAAUUUGUAGUUGAAACAAAUUGUUAUCUAUAGGAAAUCGUUUUGGAUUCACAUCCUUAUUUUAAAAAUCCAACUCAAAAUAAUCGUAUACUUUACAAGCAAAGGAUGAUUUUAGUUUUUAGAGGAAAAGAGAGAUAAACAUAGAUAUUGUGAAGGGUUGGUCAGGCCGGACAAGGUAUCUAGACCAAUGUUUCAAGUUCGGAUUCAAUUUGAAAAUUGAGUUUACUUUUUUGUCUAAGUUCGAUCCAAUUUAAGAAAGGUAAACUCGAGCUCAAUCUGACUCAUUCAUAUUUGACUUUUUUAGAUUAAUUUUAUUUAAAAUAAUUUUUUAAAAUAUAAAAUACUAAAUGCACUAAAAAUGUUAAAAUAAAAGUUUUUUUAUUAUAUUAAAAAUACUACCAUAAAUUUAAUAAUGUUUUAUUAUAUUAAAAACUACAAAUAAAUAUAAUAAAUAUGUUUAUUUAAAAUUUUAUAUUUUGAGUUGGGUUGUUUUAAUUGGUUAAAAUUUUUUCUUUAGGUUUUGGAAAAAUGAAUUUAAGUAUUGUUGAGUUAAUGAUUUAGUAUAAUUAUUAAUAUAUAUAUAAUUAAUAUAAUAUUUUAAUAUAAUAUUAUAUAUUCAGAUUAAAUCGAGUUUAGAUAAAAAAAUCUUAUUCAAAAUUCGACCGAUAUAAAAAACGGACAUCAAAUUUUAUUCAACUUCUCUUUUAAAUAUUUUAAUUUUUCGAAUUAGCUUUCGGACUUGACUGUGCGGCCCAUAUCACAAUAUUAGAAGGAUCGCACAUUCACAUGGCAUAUUCCGUCAAUCCAACGGUAAAUCUCUUGACACGUGUACGGCAAGAUAGCAUCACAACCGCCUCGGUCCCUUUAGUUGUUAGGUUAAAAACUCGGGUACGGUGAGCGAAACCUUAUCCUGAAGAAAGGGGGAAAAAAUAUUAAUUUUCAAUUUUUUAUCAUUUUCUCGGGAAAAAGAAAGAAUUUUCUUUUCUAGAUCUAGUCUUUACGAUCAUGGAGAUGGAGAGCGUGACGGAGUUUCCUCAUACGCAUAUGGAUCGGCGACCUAGAAAGCGGCCGCGAUUGGGAUGGGAUGUAACUCAGUUGCCGCCGCAGGUAUCGCCUUUGUUCUUUGAUUUUCUUUUCCUAGAUCUGGUUAAUAUUUACCCUAUAUGUAGAGUUUUCCAAUUUACGAAUCUGUUCUGUAAAGAUUAACAUGCUCUUUUUAAGGAUUUUGCCUUAGAUCUGCUAUUAUUUGAUUUGUUCUUUUUUCCUUUGUUAAUUUGUAUGUUUUAUCAUUCAGUUUAACCAUCAAUUUAUCUUAUUUUUAAGAAGAAAUUCGUGUCUUAGGGAUUUAUCCCUCAAUUUGUAAGAUUCCAAGGGCAUCGGAAAGAUAGAACAAAUUCAUCAAUAUGUUAUAUUUUGUGUUGCACGAGUCUUUAUUAUGAUAAUUUUUGGGAUAAAUAAUUACUUUUUAAGCCUUUUUUAGAUAUUAUAUACUGUUUCUCUUUUGUUUUUUCUUAUGGAAUUUUUGGUAGGUAAGAAUAAGGGAUUUUAAGGUGAUUGGGGAUGAUAAAAAAGUGUUGAAUUUUUUUUAUCUUUUAGUGGUACAAUGAAUGGAUGGCUGUGUGUAGGCUCAGGUAGGAAUGUUUUAUUCACAAGAGAUUUGGAAUGUGACAAGCGUUGCUUCUACUGCAAAAGCACCCUCAGAUUGUGCUAGUACUAUUACUACUAGUUCUUCUGUAGUUCUAAAUGGUGGAUUUGCUCGAAACGGUUCUCCCCCGUGGCGAGAAGAUGACAAAGAUGGGCAUUACAUGUUUGAGCUUGGAGAUAAUUUAACCUCUCGCUGUAAUUUCACUUUUACCAUCACAAGCUUAUAUUCAUUGAUAAAUUGCCUUGAAAACCAUAAAGCAAAAUGUUUGAAUUGGUAUUUGGUGAAUAGGAUGAUUGUAUUUCUGGAUUUGAUUGUAGGUUAAACUCUCAACGGUUUAGUGAUAAUUAGCAUUUUCUUUAUUGUUCUAAGGAGUUUUUAACACAUUUUUGUUAGUUAUUUAGUACUUUUGUUUCUAAUUAUCCUUUCUUUACGGUUGCAGAUAAGAUACAGAGUAAAAUGGGUGAAGGUAUACCUUAGUGAACAUAUUGCGUCUUUUGUUUACCUAUGGUUUGGUUCAAUAUAUAUAUGCCAUUUCAUCUUAGUAGGCAUCUCUUUCCUGACCUCCAUCCUUUUACAGGUACUUUUGGUCAGGUUUUAGAAUGCUGGGAUAGAGAGAGGAAGGAGAUGGUUGCUAUCAAAAUUGUUCGUGGAAUUAAGAAAUAUCAUGAAGCAGCCAUGAUAGAAAUUGAGAUGCUGCAACAGCUUGGGAAACAUGAUAAAGGUGGCAAUCGGUGAGUUAUCCACUGCAUUAAAAUUAUAUUUCGCUAGAGCCACCAACUUUAUAACAGACUUUUUGAAGUUCUUUUUGCAAUGGUUAAAUGCGUUCAUUCCUUGCAGUUGUGUGCAAAUACGGAACUGGUUUGACUAUCGUAACCAUGUCUGUAUUGUAAGUAUAUGAUUGAUUUGUGAUGGAUUGCUUUCCCCACUGACCAAUAAUUUGGGGGUUAAAACUUGUGAAUGAAUUUAAAUGGUUUCAACAGGUGUUUGAGAAGCUUGGACCAAGCUUAUACGAUUUUCUACGGAAUAACAAUUAUCGCUCAUUUCCCAUUGAUCUUGUCCGCGACAUUGGCAGACAACUAUUGGAAUGUGUAGCAUGUGUGUAAUAAUUACUAAGCUAGUAUCUCUGCCUAUCCUUCUUAUGUUGCCAUAUUUAAGUUAUCAUUAUCUCGACUGCUAAACCUUAAUAUAAAAUGAAAUCAUUAGGUUCUAUGAAUGCCUUCUGUUAGCUAUUAGAGGUGUCUGAAGUCUUUUCCUUUGAAAGCAUUUGCAUUGAUGUUUAUUAGAAUGGUACCAAUUGUUGUGCUUAUUCUGUCACUGGUUUCUUAUAGUUUGCUCUUGUUAAUAUUUGCAGUCAUGCAUGAUUUGCGUCUGAUACAUACGGACUUGAAACCAGAAAAUAUUCUUCUUGUCUCUCCAGAGUGUGUCAAAGUUCCUGAUUACAAGGUAUUUUCCUUUAGUUGAAACCUUCAUCUUUCUUUGCAGCAAGAGUUACUGGUGUAAAAUCCCUAUCUGUGAUGUAUUACAUCUGUCUGUCAUUUCUUGGGCUAAUUAUUUAUAUUAUUUUUAUGCUGCCAGGGUACAUCAAGAUUUCCAAAAGGUAGUUCUUACUUUAAAAGGUUGCCAAAAUCAAGUGCCAUUAAGGUAAUAGAUUUUGGUAGCACUACUUAUGAGCGUCAAGAUCAGUCUUACAUUGUGUCAACACGACAUUAUCGUGCUCCAGAGGUUAUUCUUGGUAUGCAUUUUCAGGUUAUUAUGGCUCACGUAUCAAUGGUUUUAGAAAAUGGUCACAUGAUCAUUAAAUUUUUUAUAUCGGAUUUUAUAGGACUGGGAUGGAGUUACCCUUGUGACAUAUGGAGUGUUGGCUGCAUCUUAGUUGAAUUAUGCACGGUAUUUCAGGAAAACCGAUUCAUUGUAUUGUGGUUUUGUAAGAUUGCAAAAUGAUAUAUGAGCAGAGCACUUAUACAACAGUUGAUAUUCCGACAGGGUGAGGCAUUGUUUCAAACACAUGAGAAUCUGGAGCACCUUGCCAUGAUGGAGCGGGUGUUGGGUCCACUACAUCAGCACAUGUUGAAGAGAGUAGAGUGCGUGGAUUCUUUAGUUUUUCAUUUUCCCCCUUUGUCUUAUUGAAGUUUAUUAACAUGUAGUUUGUGGGUUCCAGUCGACAUGCGGAGAAGUAUGUUAGAAGUGGUAGACUGGAUUGGCCAGAUGGUGCUGCAUCAAGGGAGAGUAUGAGAGCUGUUCUUAAGCUACCUCGUCUUCAGGUAUGGUUUUGUUUCGGGCGAGCGUCACGAUUGGUGGUGGGUUAUGUUGGUCUAAUAGGCUUGUGCAAUGAUUGCAGAACUUGAUAAUGCAGCAUGUGGACCAUUCGGCUGGGGAUCUAAUCCAUCUAUUGCAGGGGUUGCUUAGGUAUGACCCUAUUGAUAGGCUCACUGCUCGUGAAGCUCUAAGGCAUCCGUUUUUUAGCGGGGACAAGUUUAGGCGAUGAGCGUGCGAUAUGCUUCACUUUGUAAAUUGUAUCAAACAUUCAGUUACAUGAAAAAUUGUAUCAUUAGUUGGAUUGAAUAUACCUUUUUAUAAAUUAUCCUGCCCAUGUCGUUUUUUCAAUGCAUCUCUGAGGGCAAUUGACACUUGAAAAAAGUGUUGCAACAUGAUAUUUUAAAAUUAAAACAAAUAAUUUAAGAUUAAAUAUCAAUUGAUCUAAAAUUUAAAUACAUUUUAUAUGGUUAUGCUUUUGAGCUUCCAAAUGCAAAAUUAAAUAAAGCAGCUGAAUUUUCUAUAAAACACUCAAAAGUGAGUUGACUCAAAUGAGACUUACAAUGUCAAAAACACUUCCGAAAAUUCGAGGAGCUUCAAAAUUUUGAGGUAAUUAUUAUUUGGGCUCGAAAUAUUGGUUUAUAGUAAUGUGCAAAAGAUACCAGGACAUAGAUUAAACAGUUGAUCGUUAAAUCCUAUCAAUCUUGCUUAAUUAGUUGUUAACGACUAUUGAAUUAGCUAUUAUGAUGCUUAUGUGAUGAUCCAUGGCAGUAACGACUACCAAUAAGGUCAUUAUGGACUCAAUUUUUUUUAAAUUAUAUCCAAUUUUAGAAACUUUAAAAAUAUAAUAUAUUAUAAAAAUAAUACAAAAAUGAGUAAAGGCAGUUUCUUGAUAUUUUUGCAACCCAAAAAUAAGCUUGAUUUCACAUCUAAAACGUGGAUUUAUUAUAUAUUUUAUUGAAAUCCAUUGCAUGAUUAAAAAGUUUAUAUUUAUUUUAUUAUUUAUACUAAAUAAAUUUAUUAUAUAUUUCGUUUUUUAUUUUACAUGGAAGUUAAGCGUGGGCAUAGAAAAUACUUCAAUCACCAAUGCCAUGAUCAGCAAAUUGGAUAAAAAGAACUUCAAAAAUUUAUAGAAAGAAAAGCAAAAAUCACCCUUUCUUUUUGAAUCAUAAUUAUUAUAGUCCUCCUUCAAAACCCAACAAAAUUGGAAAAUGACCAAAGCAAUAAUGGUGAGAAAUCAUGAUUCCUACUUUUUCCUAAUAAUGGAUGCCAAGGUUAAAAAAACAUAAUAUUAAAUUUAGCUCUUAACGUUUUAUUUUUGUUAAUUUGACUCUUUUUUUUAGUUAAAUUUGAUCGUUAACUUUUUAAAAGAAUUUAAUUACUUUUUUUAACAAAAUGUUGACUAAAAUAUUAAUUUUUUAACUAUGAAAGUGCGGCAACCCACGUGACAUCUACAUGUACUUCAUGUAAACAUGACAUUACUUGUCAUAUAUGUAACGUCAAUAAAUAAUUUAAAAAUUAAAAAAAGUCAUAAAGUUCAUAACAUUUUUUAAAAAAAACAUAAAAGUACAUGUAGAUUGCCAUAUGGGCUACUAUGUUUAAAAUUUUAACAUUUUAGUUAGUAUUUUUAUUAAAAAACUUGAGUACUCAAGACCCAGAAUCUUUGCCUUUGUCAAUUGUGCUGAUCCAUUUAAUUUUUAGAUUUUAAAAUUCAGGUCCAACUAUUAUUAAAAUUAAAUUCAAGUUCAUUACAACUUCAUUUUUUAGUUAUAUUGCUAUCAAGUAAAUUUUUUUAUUCCAAAAUAUCAAAAAAAAGUUAACAAUUGAACUUGAAUUCUGAAAUAUAAGAGAUUAAAUUCCUAAAAAUAAAAAUAUAUAUACUAAAUUUCAAAUUUGCAAAGAGUACAAGAAACUUUGAUAUAUUUUAACCUAUAACAAAAACUCCUUUAACAAUUUACGUAAACAAAAGCUUAAUAGGUGAUUUAUGAUGCCAAAAAAAUUUAAGGAAUUUGAGAUAAAUUAUAAAAUUUGGGAGUUUUUUUUUUUGAAAUAAUUAAGAUUGGGCUUUAUUAAUAAAAAAUAUUGUAACAAAACUUAUAAACCUAUUAUCCUAGGAAAACCCGACCCAAAACAGAUGGCCAAGGUUGAAAUAAAUAUCUAGAUAUUAAAAGAGAGAAUUCUAGAACCUACAUUAAAUGCACUGACCUAUUGCCCAAUCAAAAUUUGCUGAAAUCUGUCAUCUCGUCUUCCCAUCAUUUCAUUUCCAGUUUGACGAAUUUUCUUUCAAAACUUCUUCUGAAUCGUUUCACUUUCUUUAGUUUUGAAGCUUUCUUCCUUCCUUUCCUCAUCUCUUGGCAUUUCUUAGUCUGGUUCGUGCAACCGAUCAUAUCUUCUUUGAUCUUUGGCAUACUCAGAGACCUCCAUUUCUAGGUAAACCUCCUCUUUUUUAAAAUUUGGGAGUUUAAACCUAAAAAUCUUGCAUUAAAAAUGCUUAAAUUAAAUUAUCAAUUUUUAAAAGGGUUAAAAUUAUAUAUAUAUUUCAUUUAACCAAAGGUGAAAAAUUACUAAAUUGAUUUUUUUUUUUAAAUUUGAGGAGUAACUAUAAAACAUUUUUCCCAUUUAACCAACUGGAGGGCCAAGCUCUUGCCAUGUCACUUGCUCCUCUUAUCCAUCUAUAUUCUAUAAUACAUAUAAAAAAACGAAUUUGGAGACACUUUUGAACGGAUAAAAAUAUUAUUUAUUUUUCAUUAUAUUACUAAAUUAAGUUUAAAAAGAACUAUAAUUUAAUUUAAAAUUAUUAGUUAAAAACUUGUGUUAAUUUUAAAAUAGAGUUAUUUAAGCAUCUUAAUUGUCACUCAAUUAAUAUUAAUGUUAUAUAUCAAUUAAAAUUAAAGUUUAGCUUUAUAAAUAACAUUUAGUAGUUAAGUAUAUUUAAUGAAGUAGCAACUAGUAAAAAACCGAGAUUAUUAGUGUUAAUAAUUUAGAAUUGUAUAAAAAAGAGAGGUAACAUCGAAUUUUAUUCGAAUAACAAUGGCAGCAAAAAGUAAUUGAAGGUAAUAUAAUAUUAUGAUUUUUUUUUUUUUACAUUUUUAUGUAAGUUGUUUAUACUAUGUGAAGCAAUCAUUAGGUUUGUUUUGAAAAGCUAACAAAUUUCAACAAUUAUUUGUAUUCACUGUAUUUAUUAAUUUAGUGUAAAUAUAUUUUAUAUUUAUCAUGAAAUCUUAUCAUAAUCGUUGCUUGUUAUUUUACCCUUUUUUUUUAUAUAGUCCAAAUUUGUAUAUUAUUUAAAAAUUAAUGAUAGGUAACAAUAAUUAAAAAUGCAUUGUAUGUAACAUUAGAAACUAAUACUUUAAAAGAAAUCGACUUACCAUUUCAUAAUUGAUAAAAAUAAUCUAACAUCUCUUAAAAUAUAUUUAUCAAGUAAAAUUCAAGUUAAAGAGAGAGAGAGAGAAUUAUACAUUUAUUAUUGAUCUAUUUUAUUUUAUUUAUUUUCCUCCAUUUUUAAUUACUAAAUAAUGAAAAUUUAACCACCUUAAAAUUACAUUGGACUACUAUAAAAUUGAAUUAUAUUUGAUUUUAAACUUAUGUUUAAUUCAGUUAUAUAUUAAAAUUAAGAUAAAUUCAUUAAAUCAUUUUUAUCUAAAAUUAAUUACAAAUAUUUAAAAGGUUUUAAUCGAAAUAAAUUUCUUAAAAUAAAAAAUAAAAUUAUUUGAAAGUUAAUAUAUAAAAUUGAAAUAAAAUUAAGUCUAAAAUAUUUAACAUAGUUAAAAUAUAUAUAUAUAUAUAAUUACUUACUAAAUAAACAGGUAAACCAAUGUUUAUAUAUAGAUGUAGGAGGAUUUGUUUGGGAAGUAAGAAGCCCCUUUGACAUCUCUUCAUUUGCAAAUAAAUCUCGGUGUGAAAACACAGAGACAAAGGGCUGAUCUUUAAAUAAGAAAAAGAGUGGAUCCGCAGGAUCCCAAAUGAAUUGGCUUAUUCGAAAAAAGCCUUGUUCUUUGGAGGAUCUAUCUUGUGCCUGGUACUACAUGGUUCCACUCUGCAAAAACGCCGAAUCAUUCUCUUGAAGCUCAUCCUUUUCAUCAUAAAUGAUCCGCUUGCCCCGAAAUGGCCCGGCCCAAUGGGGAAAUCCUAAUUCAUUGGGCCUUUCGAUACAAUCAAAUAGAAAGCCCCAAUGGCGCAUAUCCUAGGAGCCCAAACUAUGUGAUUGAAUAAAUCCUCCUCUAUCUGUUACGGGUCAAAUACUCCUUCUCCUUUCUCUUCUUCAAACUCUAAUUCGUAUUUUUCAUAGAGAUUUCUCAUCAACGAUAGAACAAGAUCCAUUUUGCAUAAUAUAUAAGGGAUUCCCCUCAUCUUUGUUUUUUUUUUUGUGAAUUACUAUAACAAGGCAAAACCCGAACAAUCAACGCGACUAGUACGAUUCGAACCUAGAUCACACUUGGUGCAAUAAUCAUUCUUAACUAUUAGGCCAUCACAUGGAAUUCAAUUGAUUCAUCUUUUUGAAUAUUUUCUCGUAUUACGUAAAUAUAAUAUAAAGUAAAUGAUGGAAUCAAACAUAUGAAAAUUAAUUUAAUUGAACCCAUGAAGUCGAUUAUUUAAAAAAAAACAAGUUUGAUUAAAUUGGUAUUUUAAUUCCGGAAAUACAAUACAUGAUGAAUUUCAAUAUUCCUAUGAUUUUGUUUUAUUUAAACAUUGAACUCAACUACAUCAAAACCUACAAAAUUCCAAACUACAUUCUCAAACAAACAGAUAAUACAUAAUGGGAAUCUUUGAUAAAAAGAUGCUAUUGAGAAAUGAAUAUUUUGUAAAGGUAGAAUUAAAAUACUCAGUUUUAAGUCUUGUGGAUAAAAAAAAAAAACAAUAUUUAUAUAAUUUUGAUUUUGGUUUUGGGAUUCAACUUGAUUCUACUUUAAACUUAAAUGUAACUACAAGCUAAUAAAAAACAUCAAGAACUGAAUUUGGAUAGAAAAUCCAAUGACUACAAGACAACAGAAAACCUCACGAGUUUGAGAUAACUUAACCUGAAAAUCUAAAAAUAUCCGAGUCAUGCUAAAUUGAUGGAAUUCUUUAUUGCAAAAAGAAUAAAAUAAAUAAAAAUUGAUGGUUGACUGGGGUUUUUCUUAUUUAGUUCAUAACUUGAUCUGCAAAAAAUUGGAGAUACCACCAUUAAUGGAGCUCAUCAAUGAAAAUAAACUUUACAACCCAUUGUUUCUCUCUCUCAUCCUCUUUAUUUUCUCCUUUUUACUUUGGCUUAAACUAUCAAAACACAAAUUACAGAAUUUGCCUCCUUCUCCCCCAAAGUUACCAAUCAUUGGCCACCUUCAUAAACUUGUGAAACUCCCCCACCGAUCCCUUCGAGACCUUUCACUAAAAUAUGGGUCCUUAAUGUUUCUUAAUUUAGGUCAAAAUCCAACCCUAGUUGUAUCAUCAGCUGACUCCUUGAAAGAAAUGGUGAAAAACUAUGAUGUUGUUUUCAUGAACAAGCCAAACACCACUGCUGCAAAUAUCUUGUUUUAUGGGUGCAAAGAUUUGGGGUUUUCACCGUACGGAGAUUAUUGGAGACAAGUUAGGAAACUUUGUGUUCUUGAGUUACUAAGUGCUCGAAGAGUUCAAUCGUUUCAGUUCGUAAGAGAAGAAGAAGUUGAUGCUAUAAUAAGGAAAAUCCAUGAGGCUGCUGUUAAUGGUGAUGUUGUUGAUUUAACCAAGAUGUUAAUGGCGGUCUCGAGUAACAUUGUUUCCCGAUGUGUUAUUAGUCGUAAAGCUGAAGACGAUAAUGGCGGAAUUCAUUUUGGAGAGUUAACGAGGAGGGUUAUGGUUCUUUUCACCACCUUGUGUUUUGGUGAUUUUUGGCCGUCUUUGAAAUGGUUGGAUUAUGUAACUGGGUUUAUUUCACGAUUGAAAUCAACUUUUUGGGAAUUGGAUUUGUUUUUUGAUCAGGUAAUUGAUGAACAUAAGGAAAAGGAAGCCAUUGAUGAAACGAAAGACUUCCUUUCUAUCAUUUUGCAACUUCAAAAAGAUGGCUUGGAUCUCACUCAAGACAACAUCAAAGCAAUCUUACUGGUUUUUUUUUCUUUAACUCUCUUCUUCUCAUUUCUUCAUGUUUUAUCGAUUAAACAAAAAUAUUAAAUUUAAGGAUGAAUUCAUGCAAAAUAAUUAGGAUAAUUUUAAAAUAUGACCUCAGAAACUUGAGUUUCAAUAAAAAUAUGGUUAAGCUAUUUUAUCAAAUCCCUAUGGCUAUGAUAUUUAAGAAGGCUUGAAACUCAUAACAUGGAUUUGUACAAAAAACAGAUAAAUUAAAUCUGGACCUGGCCCAACCUUUUUUCUCAUUUUAUAAUAUGCUUAUUUUUAUUAAAAAGGGGGGGGGGUAUAUUAUGCAGUUUGUAUCAUAAACUAAUUCAAUUUAGGUUUGGUUACACUUCAACUUCAAUUUCUCAUAAUUUUAUGAAAACUGAGAAGUUACCCAGUAAACGUAUUAACUUCAACAGUUGAUUUCUGCUAAUUUAUUGCAUAUAGAUAGUGGCAGAUUUUGGAAUUGAGUUUUGGGAGGCCUAAUUUUAAGAGUUUAAUAAGAAAUUUUUUUAAAAAAAAUUGGGGUCUAAUUAAAAUUUUUGUGAGAUCAAUGAGAAUUUUUAAAAAUUUUAAGAGAGCUCAAUUAAAAUUUUAAAAAAGUUCAAAAUUAUAAUAAGAAUUUUUAAAAAUUUGAGAGGUACUGUUUAAAAAUUUCUAAAAAUUUUAAGAGAGAAAUAAAAAAUUUUCAAAAUUUAGGUGAGGAGCCAUGCCCUCUAGGCCACCAUAACAGUCCGCCUCUGCAUAUAGAUCAUUGAACUACUGGAUUUUGCUAAUUUUGUGCAUAUAAAUCGAUGAAGUAUUGAUUUCUAGGUCAAUGUUUUUAUUGAUCAAAUUUUAUUAAAUUAAAGUAGAGAGAUUAACCUUUUAAUUUUCAUAAAAUAAAAGGAUAAAAUUCAUAAUUAAAUCUUAAAUAUUAUAAAACGUAAUAAAAUUGAUUAAGAAUUAAACAACAAAAUAUGAAUAGUUUUAUUUUUGUUUUGAAAAUUUUGGUUUUUCAGGACAUGUUUGCUGGAGGAACUGAAACAACAUCCACAACAGCAGAAUGGGCAAUGUCCGAAUUGUUGAAAAAACCAGACGUGUUGAAAAAAGUUGAACAAGAUGUACGAAAAGUGGCGAAAAACAAACAGAAAAUCGAAUUAAACGACCUAAAUCAAAUGAAAUACUUGAAAUGUGUGAUCAAAGAAACAUUAAGGCUUCAUCCCCCAGUUGUUUUCUUGGUCCGUCGAGGAACAUCGGAAGCCGUUAAACUAGGAAAGUACGACAUUCCACCCAACACUACAGUUUUCAUCAAUGUGUGGGCGAUUCAAAGGGACCCGAUAUGGUGGGAAAACCCCGAAGAGUUCAUCCCGGAAAGAUUUGAGAACUCCAGGGUUGAUUUUAAGGGUCAAGAUUUUCAGUUCAUCCCGUUCGGGUGCGGGAGAAGGGAUUGUCCUGGGAUGCCAUUUGCGAUUGCAUCGCUUGAAUAUUUGGUUGCAAAUCUUUUGUUUAGGUUUGAUUGGAAGUUGGGUGAUGGUGAAACUUCGGAGACUUUGGAUUUGAUUGAAAACUAUGGGCUUACUGUUAAUAAGAAAGUUCCUCUUCGUGUUAUGCCCACCAUAUUUCAUCCAUCUACUUAGCCAUUUUUCAUCUCAUCUCUUUUCUCUACUUUUGUUUUAUCUUCUUCGUUACAACACAACUACUUUUCUAUCCCAUGCCAUAUUUCAUAUAGAUUUCGACUUCAUUAAAAACAAUUCACAUUUUCUAAUUGAAUCGAGUUUUAUUCACUCUUAUCUUAUAUUGUUAUUUGUUGUAAAAAGUUGUUGCAUUUAAAAGCUUUUACUUUUAUCUAUGGGUUAAAUCACUUUUUGAGGUCUGAACUUGACAACUACUCUCACAUUGGGGUCUAAACUUUAUUUUUGUCCAAGUCAGUCACUGAACAUGGCAAUUGUUCUCACGUUCGGGGCCUAAACAUGAGGUUAGCAUUUAGGCUUAGCUUGGUAGAGUAAAAAGAAAAUUGGAAAGAGUAGAAAAAUAGAAUGAUAAAAAAAAUAUAAAUUCCCUUUUCAUGGUGUGUUUGGUAGGAAAUGUGGAAAAAUUUAAAGAAAAAAUAAUUUUCUUUCCAUUCAUUAUUUGGUAGAAUUGAAAAAUGAGAGGAAAGAAAAUGUAUAAUUUUGAAUUAACAUACAUCCCUUCCUUAUUUUCUCUCUUCUUAUCAUUCCAAUUUGGAAUGAUUUGUUUUCGUGCAUUAGGCAAAAAAAUGAUCAUCUAUUAUAUUUUCUUUUCUCUCACUUUUCUUCCUUAUCAAGCACACUCAAAAUUUAUUUUCUUUCUGUUUUUCUUUUCUCUCAUUUCAUCAUUUCACUUUUCUACUCAAUCAAGCACACCCCUAGGUAGAACUAGUGUAACACCCCUAUACCCAGUCCGACCAUAUAAACCUGGUAUACGACUAUUAUGUUUGGUGUCAAAGCGAUUUUGGCUAAACACUGUGUAAUUUAAACAUUUACCUGUUAAAAAUAGAACGUCGGUAAUGACAAUGCAUCGCAAAGAAAAGGAGAGAAAAAAAUAAAGAACACACAGAUUUUACCUGGAAACCCUUUCGGGAAAAAAUUUACGGGCAGAGGAGAAAAUAAUUUACUAUAUCGAAUUCGAAUGAUUAUAGGAGGAGUUUCGACUUCAUCUAUUUAUAGGUUGAAAAAAUCUAAUUCUAAUCAAAGUCAAAUAUAUUAUGUUAAUAAAUGUUAAAUAUAUUAUACUUAUAAAUACUAAAUCUUCUAGAAAGAAUAUAUAUUUUGUUUAACUUGACUUGCAAGCAAUCUCUUAGAAUUUGGGUCACACAACUCUAACAAUCUCUACCAUGACACGAAUUCUUAAUGAAGAAGUUUUUCACCUCUUCCAUAAAACCCCUUAAGGGUUUAACUUCAGCAAUGAACACCAACCAAGUCUAAGCAAUGCUCAAACUUGGUUAUAGGAAGUGACUUAGUCAUCAUAUCUGCUGGAUUUUCAUGAGUACUAAUUUUGCUCACAACAAUAUCACCACAAUCAAUAAUAUCACGAACAAAAUGAUAUCGAACAUCAAUGUGUUUUGUUCUUUCAUGAAACAUUUAAUCUUUGGUAAGGAAGAUGACACUCUGAUUGCCACAAAAUAUUGUACUGAUUUGAAGGUCUUUAUUGAGUUCACUAAAUAGUCCAUUCAACCAAAUAGCUUUUUUACAGCCUCAGUAAUCGCUAUGUAUUCAGCUUCAGUGGUAGACAAAGCGACUGUAGUUUGCAAAGUGACUUUCCAACUAAUUGCACAACCUUCGAUUGUAAAGACAUAACCUGUGAGAGAUCUUCUUCUAUCAAGGUCUCCAGCAAAAUCAGCAUCAACAUACCCAAUAACUCUAUCUCUAGUUCUUCCAAACUAUAAACAAACAUUAGUAGCACCUCGUAAGUAUCUUAAAAUCGACUAAACUGCUUUUCAAUGUUCUUUACCAAGAUUCAUUAUGUAUCUACUAACUGCACUGACUGCAUAUGAUAAAUCUGGACGUGAACAAAUCAUAGCAUACAUGAGAGAUCCCACUGCACUAGAGUAUGAAACAUGUGACAUGUACUCAAUCUCAUCAUCUGAUUGUGGAGACAAAGCCGGUGAAAGUCUGAAAUGGGCUGCUAAAUGAGUACUAACAAGCUUAACACUCUGCAUAUUGAACCUGUAAAAAACUUUCUCAAUGUACCCCUUCUAACUAAGGUACAAUUUACUUGAUUUUCUAUCUCUGAGAAUCUCCAUACCAAGUAUCUUCUUUGCUGGUUCCAAAUCAUUCAUCUCAAAUUCUUCACUUAGUUGGGCUUUGACCUUUCUUAUCUCUUUAUUUAUCUUUUGCUGCUAUCAACAUGUCAUCAACAUAAAAGAGCAGAUACACAAAAAAACCAUACUGUUUUUCUUAAAGUAAACACAACUGUCAAAACUACUUUUUUUUUAAAAUUAUAAGAAUUCAUAAUGGAAUCAAACCUCUUGCACCACUAUCUUGGUGACUGUUUCAAACUGUAAAGGGACUUUUUCAGCAAGCAAACAUAGUAUUCUUUUUUUGAGACUGUAAAACCCUCUGGUUGCUGCAUGUAAAUAUCAUUCUUAAGUUUUCCAUGCAAAAAUACAAUUUUUGCAUCUAACUGCUUAAGCUCCAAAUCAUGCAUGACCAUAGUACCAAGCAAAACUCGAAUCGAACCAUGCUUCACAAUUGGAGGGAACACAUCUGCGAAGUCCACUCUUUGAAUUUGACUGUAACCCUUUGCAACAAGCAUUGCUUUAUAUCUGAGUUCUUCAACUUCUAGAGUCCCUUCUUUCUUUUUAAACACACAUUUACAACAAACAACAUUUUUACCUUUAAAAAGUUUCACAAGAUCCCAUGUUCUGUUUUUGUGGAGUGAUUUCAUCUCCUCUUGCAUAGCAAAUAUCCACUUUUCUGAGUCUUCACAGCUAACCGCCUUAGAAUAAUUAGAUGGCUAUUGGUUUACAUCUAUAUUUUCAGCCACAUUUAAAGUAUAAGCAACUAGAUCAGCCUCGGCAUAAU